rnacentral:lncRNA from 1 species
CUUCAAGGAUGCUUCGCAGCUGCACAAGCGUCCGGCCUCGAUGACUCAUCCACGCGAAGCUCCGGAAUGAUCAGCUUUCCGGGGAGUGCUAGCUCGCAGGAAGGCAGAAGGUUGGCUGAAAGGGAGAAGAAGGAAGAAGAUGGACCUUCACAGCUCAAGAACUCUUUCUUGGGCUUUCACCUUCAGAACUACUCUCUCCUCUCACUCUCUUUCUCU